CUCUCGAUAGCUCAGUUGGUUUAGAGCGUUCGGCUGUAAUUGUUCAUUGUCACCGAAAGGUCGCUAGUUCGACUCUGGCUCGAGAGA